UACGUAGGGGGCAAGCGUUGUCCGGAUUUAUUGGGCGUAAAGAGCAUGUAGGCGGCCAGGUAGGUCUGCUGUGAAAACUCGAGGCUCAACCUCGAGAUGUCGGCGGAAACCCUCUGGCUAGAGUCCGGAAGAGGAGAGUGGAAUUCCUGGUGUAGCGGUGGAAUGCGCAGAUAUCAGGAAGAACACCCGUGGCGAAGGCGGCUCUCUGGGACGGUACUGACGCUGAGACGCGAAAGCGUGGGGAGCGAACAGG
rnacentral:rRNA from 1 species